rnacentral:misc_RNA from 1 species
UUAAAACGCGAGCUCAAAUCUAAUAUAUUUCAAAUGAGCUAGCUUUAACCUUAAUGUUAAAGCUCAAACCAAGCUCAAGCCUGAACCAAUACCAACGAGCCGAGUUUGAACAAGCCAAAGCUCGGCUUGGCUUGGCUUAUUUUUAUAUGAACAAAUUAUAACAGUGAUUCUAGGUCAUAGUUCAAAUUAUAACCGCACCAUAGUUCAAAUAUGCUGAUAUAUGCACCAUAGUUAUAAUUUGCUCAAAUUUGUUCUAUAUGCUGAUAUAUGCACCAUAGUUAUAAUUUGCUCAAAUUUGUUCUAUAUGCUGAUAUAUGCACCAUAGUUAUAAUUUGUUCUAACCUAGAAUUUGACCUAGUGAUUCUAGUUAUAAUUUGUUCAAAUUAACAGCACCAUAGUUAUAAUUUGUUCAAAUUUGAACAGUCCUACCAUGGCAAGUCAAAAAGAGAAUCACUAGGUCAUGAAGAAACUGUUGAACUCAGGUGAGGGAUAAAUAGAAAUAAUAGGUUAUAUUGAGUAGCUUUACAGUUCACAAGCUUCAAGAAAAUAAAUCGGAAAGGAAUCAAGGAGAGUUUUAAAUGCAUACUUUAGCAAUUGAGCAGAAUGAUAGCAAAAAUCAGUUUCAGUUGAAGUCAAUAUCACCAAACAAGCUAAAGGAUCAAACAAGAAUGCAAUUGAAGGCACAGGUGCUUCAUCCUGCUAUUUCAACUUAUUGGCAUAAAAAAUGAACCUAAGAUGGGAGGCUUCUAAAUAUGCAAAACCAACUAUCAAAUGAGCAAAUGCGUUUACAGCCUUAAUUAGGAUAGAACGUAGAACAUGUAACAACAUGAAAAAACAAAAACUUCUACACCUGCCACCUGUGAAAGAAAAUAAUUCAAACCUACUGUAGAUUUAACGAGCAUUUUCUAAAAUGAUUCAUUCCCACAUAAAUGAAUAUAGCAUUUUCUAAAACUUCUACUGUAGAUUAUGAAAUGUUUAUAUUUUAUUUUAAACUUCAUUUUUCAUAUAUGCUGAUAUAUGCAUUAAGGUUUGGAAUCAAUUGGUUAUGAAUACUAUAUCCUGUAUCUAAAUAACUAGCAUGUCCAAUUCUGUACCACUUUCUACUUAGAGCAUAUUGAAGAUUGCCAUCCAAACAAACAACAGAUAUUCACUAAGAUUACUUGUAACCAGAUGCUAAGUGAAAUCUUUAUAAAAACUACUAUCCAAGCAUUUAACAAAACCCA